GCCCGGUUAGCUCAAUCGGUAGAGCGUGAGACUCUUACCAAGAGUACACAAUCUCAAGGUUGCGGGUUCGACCCCCGCAUCGGGCU
rnacentral:tRNA from 6 species